rnacentral:lncRNA from 1 species
AUGCCUGAACCAGCUAAGUCUGCUCCUGCCCCUAAAAAGGGCUCUAAAAAAGCUGUGACCAAGGCCCAGAAGAAGGACGGCAAGAAGCGCAAGCGCAGCCGCAAGGAGAGCUACUCCAUGUACGUGUACAAGGUGCUGAAGCAAGUCCAUCCGGACACCGGCAUCUCGUCCAAGGCCACAGGCAUCAUGAACUCCUUCAUCAACGACAUUUUCGAGCGCAUCGCUGGUGAGGCAUCGCGCCUGGCGCAUUACAACAAGCGCUCGACUAUCACAUCCAGGGAAAUACAGACUGCCGUGCGCUUGCUGCUACCUGGGGAGCUGGCCAAGCACGCCGUGCCGAGGGCACUAAGGCUGUCACCAAGUAUACCAGCUCCAAGUAA